rnacentral:rRNA from 1 species
CAACGCCGCGUGGAGGAUGAAGCCCCUUGGGGCGUAAACUCCUUUCGACCAAGACGAUAAUGACCGGUACUGGUGGAACGAAGCACCGGCUAACUCUGUGC